AACGAACGCUGGCAGCAUGCCUAAUACAUGCAAGUCGAACGAACGUAGCAAUACGUGAGUGGCGGACGGGUGAGUAACACGUGGGAACCUGCCCAGCGGUGGGGAACAACCGAGGGAAACUUCGGCUAAUACCGCAUACGCCCUUACGGGGAAAGAUUUAUCGCCGUUGGAGGGGCCCGCGUCCGAUUAGCUAGUUGGUGAGGUAACGGCUCACCAAGGCGACGAUCGGUAACUGGUCUGAGAGGACGACCAGUCACACUGGGACUGAGACACGGCCCAGACUCCUACGGGAGGCAGCAGUAGGGAAUAUUGGACAAUGGGGGAAACCCUGAUCCAGCAAUGCCGCGUGAGUGAUGAAGACCUUAGGGUUGUAAAGCUCUUUCGCCCACGACGAUGAUGACGGUAGUGGGAGAAGAAGCCCCGGCUAACUUCGUGCCAGCCGCCGCAGUAA
rnacentral:rRNA from 1 species